GCAUAUCAAUAAGCGGAGGAAAAGAAACCAACAGGGAUUGCCCUAGUAACGGCGAGUGAAGCGGCAACAGCUCAAAUUUGAAAUCUGGCUCUCGGGCCCGAGUUGUAAUUUGUAGAGGAUGCUUUUGAUGCGGUGCCUUCCGAGUUCCCUGGAACGGGACGCCAUAGAGGGUGAGAGCCCCGUCUGGUUGGAUGCCAAAUCUCUGUAAAGCUCCUUCGACGAGUCGAGUAGUUUGGGAAUGCUGCUCUAAAUGGGAGGUAUAUGUCUUCUAAAGCUAAAUACCGGCCAGAGACCGAUAGCGCACAAGUAGAGUGAUCGAAAGAUGAAAAGCACUUUGAAAAGAGAGUUAAAAAGUACGUGAAAUUGUUGAAAGGGAAGCGUUUAUGACCAGACUUGGGCUUGGUUAAUCAUCUGGGGUUCUCCCCAGUGCACUUUUCCAGUCCAGGCCAGCAUCAGUUUUCGCCGGGGGAUAAAGGCUUCGGGAAUGUGGCUCUCUCCGGGGAGUGUUAUAGCCCGUUGCGUAAUACCCUGGCGGGGACUGAGGUUCGCGCAUCUGCAAGGAUGCUGGCGUAAUGGUCAUCAACGACCCGUCUUGAAACACGGACCAAGGAGUCGUCUUCGUAUGCGAGUGUUCGGGUGUCAAACCCCUACGCGUAAUGAAAGUGAACGCAGGUGAGAGCUUCGGCGCAUCAUCGACCGAUCCUGAUGUUCUCGGAUGGAUUUGAGUAAGAGCAUACGGGGCCGGACCCGAAAGAAGGUGAACUAUGCCUGUGUAGGGUGAAGCCAGAGGAAACUCUGGUGGAGGCUCGCAGCGGUUCUGACGUGCAAAUCGAUCGUCAAACAUGGGCAUGGGGGCGAAAGACUAAUCGAACCUUCUAGUAGCUGGUUUCCGCCGAA
rnacentral:rRNA from 1 species